rnacentral:rRNA from 1 species
GCCUACGACCAUAUCACCCUGAAUGUGCCCGAUCUCGUCUGAUCUCAGAAGCUAAGCAUGGUCGAGCCUGGUUAGUACUUGGAUGGGAGACUGGCUUGGAAUACCAGGUGUUGUAGGCU